rnacentral:rRNA from 1 species
GCCAGACUCCUACGGGAGGCAGCAGUGGGGAAUAUUGCGCAAUGGGGGAAACCCUGACGUAGCAACGCCGCGUGCGGGAUGAAGGCUUUCGGGUUGUAAACCGCUUUCAGCAGGGAAGAUAAUGACGGUACCUGCAGAAGAAGCCCCGGCUAACUACGUGCCAGCAGCCGCGGUAAUACGUAGGGGGCAAGCGUUAUCCGGAUUCAUUGGGCGUAAAGGGUGCGUAGGCGGCCUUUUAAGCGUGGGGUCUAAGGCGGUGGCCCAACCACCGUUCGCCCCGCGAACUGGAGGGCUAGAGUGUCGGAGAGGGAAGCGGAAUUCCUAGUGUAGCGGUGAAAUGCGUAGAUAUUAGGAGGAACACCAGUGGCGAAGGCGGCUUCCUGGACGAAGACUGACGCUGAGGCACGAACGCGUGGGGAGCGAACAGGAUUAGAUACCCCAGUACA